UGGUUUGGUAACGUUACGGCACACGAGGGCAGCAUUUCGUCAACGUUAUCUAACAAUUUCAUCGACGACAGUUUAAACCAUAGACUGUAUGUUUUAAACUUUACCAUUAGUAUCACAGCAUAACAUGUCAGACUAACAGGCUUCUCCUUGUACCUCCUCCAGAGCUGGUGCAUUUGUCUUCUGGCCCCGGAGCGAACACAGCUAGGGAAGGAGGUGUGGUGUCGGUCCUUCACCUGGUAAACACAGAGCAAAGGGACGGACCACGGUCAUGCUCGGUGCCAGAAUUCGGUUCUUUAAACUUUCCUCCUCACCCUGGCACCCCUGUUCAGACGGUCCUUCAUUAUCCCGAUGAACUCUUUGUAGGAGAGCUGGUCAUCGUGAUCUACAUCAAAGAUCUUGAAGAUGGUGUGUACGAGGUGACGGGUCAGCUUCAGCCCAGUGGCCACAUACACAGCUCUCGCAAACUCAUCUGGUAGGAGAGAGAGAGUAAAAACAAGUUGGAUCAUUUCGGCUGCUUGUUGCACAAGUGAGGGAAGAACACAUCAGUGGUGUUUAUAAGCAGGCAACCCCUCAGUGCCUGUGGCCCUAUCUGCCACUGUUCUCUCCCUACCUUGUCCAAUGGAGCGAGCGGCGAAAUUGUACAUCUGCAUGGCAAUGGCAAAGUCCUCGAGGUUGUUGAGAAACUGGAAGAAGGAUCUAAACUCAUCAAAGGUGAUUCCCUGAAAUACCAGGAAAACACAAGUAAAGCUCUAACCAACCCAAGAAAAAGUUGAGGGAGAUGCAUUGAUAAAAAUGUCCUUCUCUGGAUGAAAAAAGCCAGUGUUUCAGCACAGACUUCCAUCCAAAGGGACCUCGACAGACGUGCAUACAACAUUCCAGGAGGCACAUCCAAUCUCACUUGUCUAAAAUAUGAUCUCCCCCGCCAAAGAAAUAAGCAACUGACCACAAAUCAUACUAACAUUCAAUAACUCAGGGGUUCCACGAAACAGUCCCAUUAAUGACAUAAGGUCAUUAAUGACAGGAUGUGUGUUCAUGAUAUGGAACAUUUCAACAGCAGCCUUCUUGCAGUGUUUCAGAAUCCUAAUAAUGUGAAAGCCAUUCAACAAGUAGCUUUAACCAUCACAUGCUCUUUGCUGUAAAUCAAGAUCAAAGCUACGGUGACUAGAUUAAUAACAAACAUUACACAAAAGAAGCAAUCUGUAACUUUAAACAAAUCAGGGAAUGCAAUCUUCAUUGAUUGAUAAGAAAAGAUGCAGGUUAAAAUACACAGAUAAAUACAAAGAAGUAGGUAGCCGUGUAUCUUAACCUGCACAUUCCUAGUAUGGAGAAACAAAGGAGAUGGCGAUCUAACUAAAUAGCAGGAUAGACUGACAGAUUGUAACUGCAGGUUGUACGUUGUACGAGGUAGAGACCAACCUCCUGCUUCUUCCACAGCAUGAAAAGGAAAAGAAGGGAGGGACAGAAAUAGAGUUGGGUUGCAUAAGGACUACAUGCCAUCUAUCUUUCUAUCUAGAUAGAUGGAUAGACAUUCACAUGUAGCUGUGUGUUUGUUUGUGUGUGUGUGUGUGUGUGUUUGUGCGUGUGUGUGUGUGUGUGUGUGAGUGUGGUCAAGUGGAGCAGUGGAGCGCUGAAGUGUGGAGAGCCACAACAGCCUCAGGCAGAGACAGUGGUGGGAAAUUACGAACGCUGUAGAUGGCUGGAAGGCGGGAGCACCCGUAAAUAGAAUAAAUUAAACAGGUAGAUAAAGGAUCAGAAACAAAUAUCUGGUGUUAACUAAAGGAAAACUAAGAAUCUAAAAUCCUGGUCAAAACUGUAUAAUAAAUAAGUGCAGCAUUCUAUAUUUUCACAGUUGACUACCACCAUUUGGCUAUUCUGCAGUUCUUUUGUAUUUUUCCCCCAUGUUUUUACUUCUAUUUGCUGAAGCUGUCCAUGCUACAAAGAGGGCCCUCUUUACUCUAAACUGAUUAUCACGUUGCCAUCUUUAUGAGAGCCAUUAAUUCCCAAAAGGCAAUACAGGCGCCAAGUAAGAUGAGCAGGGAAACACAGUUAAUCACCGCUAAAACUACAGCACACAUUCUCAUGUUAAUUUUGACGGCCCUUUUUUGUUAAUGUUUUGAUUACAGUAAAUAUAGUCAGCUAUUAUAGCUCACAACAGACCUAUAUAAACCAUGACUCUAUAAUGUUUUUUGUUGUUGGAUAAGGAUAUAGGUCUAGUUCAGCGGACUUACAGCAACGUUACCCAACAUUAUCCAAACAAACAAAAAUUUAUCCAAACACAUGACAUUAUAUUGUAGAGAUACAUCCAUGCACAAAUAGUCAACAUGAACUCAAAUUAACUGGAAUGAGAUAGAUAGAGUUUGUGCAUUUUCACUGCUGUUGAUUUGUCUGAGUGUUCCUCUCCCAGUGAAGAACUGUGGGCAUGUAUGUACUGUACCUUCUCAUCAGGUAUACACUGGCGGACAUUCUCCAGGUAGGCGCUGAUGUUUUCCACAUUGGUGAAGCGCAGAAGGAUUUUAGCAAAGUCUUCUUCACUGAUGGUGGUCAUCCCUUUAGAGUAGGUCAGAAACUCAAUUUCCAACACUUCUGUUUGAAGGUUAUCCAUAAACCUGAAAAAUAUCAAGGACGGGAACAAGGGAAUAAAUUUCAUCUAACAGUUGGGGGGGGUAAACAUAAAAUGUCUGCCACUCAACAUCAUGCUGAGCAAAACCCAACACAACGGUAGAUCUACAGCAUUAGCCCAAGAUCAUUCACACACAGGCUUAUCGCUAUGUUAGUUGUAGUAAGAGAAGCUUUGCUUUGCUUUUUUCAUGGCUGAUUCCAGUUAUAACUGACAGCAUACACAAACAUCUUUGUAACUUUUCUUAGUAAUUUUUAUUAGGAUCCCCAUCAGCACCAGCAUAAACAUUCAACUGUAUGGUCAACAACGCGUCUCUUUCUGUGUGUUUCUCUGCAGAUGUAAAUUGCAAGCGUUAUGUCUUCUUCACUCCAGUGAACAACGUUCACACCUAAGACAUGUUAGCGUGUGUUUGGCUGUGACAAUAGGCAGUUACUGUCUGUGGCGCUGUGUCCAUGAUGUGAAACACCGUGCGUGUAACGUUCAAUGUGACCGGCAGAAAAUUGGAUAUUUGACAUUGACAUUGGAUAUCAGGGUAGAUUAAGCUGUACAACAGAUUAUUCCAGUCCCUAUUCGAUUGAUCAGUGCAUCUCUUGCUGUAGUGGGCGACUUACUAUACAACAAAAAACACAUUGGUUAUCAUAUUUUUUGUCAUGAUUACUUUAUUAAUGACCCAGCAUCAUCUGUAUUAAAGAGAAAAAAUCGGUUCAUCUGAUGUUCUAAGUGAAUAACGGCCAGCCUUACUGGAGUUCCACAACUACUGAAGGGUGCAAAAUUUCUCUCCCUCUGGAGAGUUGUGUGUGUUCGUGACGAAAAGGGGGAAAGCAGGCAGUCGACCAAACCACCAUGAGGCAAAGGAGGGGGGACUCGAAAUGUUUCUAAACUUAAAACACAU